rnacentral:rRNA from 1 species
GGCUUAGAGUUUGAUCAUGGCUCAGGAUAAACGCUGGCGGCGCACAUAAGACAUGCAAGUCGAACGGACUUAACUCGAAGUUUACUUUGAGAGCGGUUAGUGGCGGACUGGUGAGUAACACGUAAGCAACCUGCCUAUCAGAGGGGAAUAACAGUGAGAAAUCAUUGCUAAUACCGCAUAUGCAUACACUAUCGCAUGAUAGAGUAAGGAAAGGAGCAAUCUGCUGAUAGAUGGGCUUGCGUCUGAUUAGCUAGUUGGUGAGGUAACGGCUUACCAAGGCGACGAUCAGUAGCCGGACUGAGAGGUUGAACGGCCACAUUGGGACUGAGAUACGGCCCAGACUCCUACGGGAGGCAGCAGUCGGGAAUAUUGCGCAAUGGAGGAAACUCUGACGCAGUGACGCCGCGUAUAGGAAGAAGGUUUUCGGAUUGUAAACUAUUGUCGUUAGGGAAGAUACAAGACAGUACCUAAGGAGGAAGCACCGGCUAACUAUGUGCCAGCAGCCGCGGUAAUACAUAGGGUGCGAGCGUUAUCCGGAAUUAUUGGGUGUAAAGGGUGCGUAGAUGGGAAGACAAGUUAGUUGUGAAAUCCCUCGGCUCAACUGAGGAACUGCAACUAAAACUAUCUUUCUUGAGUGUCGGAGAGGAAAGUG